rnacentral:ncRNA from 2 species
GGGAAGUCGGUCCAAUGCCGACGCGGUGCCGCCGCUGUAGCCGGGGACUCUCCUGGACCAUGCCACUCCGAUCGCAAGACGCGGCGGGAGGGGAGCUCCAAGAGGGAACGAUCCGGGAGCCAGAAGACC